CCUCGGGAGGCAGCAGUGGGGAAUCUUGGACAAUGGGGGCAACCCUGAUCCAGCCAUGCCGCGUGAGUGAAGAAGGCCCUAGGGUCGUAAAACUCUUUCGCCUGUGAUGAUAAUGACAGUAGCAGGUAAAGAAACCCCGGCUAACUCCGUGCCAGCAGCCGCGGUAAUACGGAGGGGGUUAGCGUUGUUCGGAAUUACUGGGCGUAAAGCGCACGUAGGCGGAUUAGAAAGUUAGAGGUGAAAUCCCGGGGCUCAACCCCGGAACUGCCUUUAAAACUACUAGUCUAGAGUUCGAGAGAGGUGAGUGGAAUUCCGAGUGUAGAGGUGAAAUUCGUAGAUAUUCGGAGGAACACCAGUGGCGAAGGCGGCUCACUGGCUCGAUACUGACGCUGAGGUGCGAAAGUGUGGGGAGCAAACAGGAUUAGAUACCCUGGUAGUCCACACCGUAAACGAUGAAUGCCAGUCGUCGGGUAGUAUACUAUUCGGUGACACACCUAACGGAUUAAGCAUUCCGCCUGGGGAGUACGGUCGCAAGAUUAAAACUCAAAUGAAUUGACGG
rnacentral:rRNA from 1 species